UACGUAGGGGGCUAGCGUUGUCCGGAUUUAUUGGGCGUAAAGAGCGUGUAGGCGGCCAGAUAGGUCUGCUGUGAAAACUCGAGGCUCAACCUCGAGACGCCGAUGGAAACCAUCUAACUAGAGUCCGGAAGAGGAGAGUGGAAUUCCUGGUGUAGCGGUGAAAUGCGCAGAUAUCAGGAAGAACACCCGUGGCUAAGGCGGCUCUCUAGUACGGUACUGACGCUGAGACGCGAAAGCGUGGGGAGCGAACAGG
rnacentral:rRNA from 1 species